rnacentral:tRNA from 1 species
GUGGGAGUAGCUCAACUGGCAGAGCAUCGGACUGUGGCUCCGACGGUUGCGGGUUCGAUUCCCGUCUCCCACCCCA